GAUUGUUGGAGUUUCGGGUAGAAAUGAAGCUUCAUCGUAACUGAAGAAGCGAUUCCACAACACAUUCAUACGCCAAACGCGACAUAACACAUUUCAUUUUUCAUCACAAACCCUAAUUCACAUCGAGAUCCGAACGAGUAUAGUAGAGUUUCGGAGAGAUCCGAAUCUUCAAUGGCACAUCGAAGAGUGAAAUUGCUGUUCCUUCUCUGCGCUCUUUGUUAUGCCCUCAAUUCCUUUGCCGCAAAGAGCUAUUACGAUAUACUGCAAGUGUCGAAGAGUGCGGGGAUGAUCAGAUUAAGAGAGCGUAUAGGAAACUGGCAUUGAAGUAUCAUCCUGAUAAGAAUCCGAGGAAUGAAGAAGCUAAUAAGAAAUUCGCGGAGAUUAACAAUGUGUGAUGGUUGCAGAGAAUCUGGAGGAACAUGUGGUACAAAUCAGAAUGAUUCUUCUCAUUUUUCUUGUAACUGUCCUUCUGGAAGUGGAACUCAUCAUUAUGCUGCAAAUUGUUCUUCUUAUCACAAGAGUAAGUAUUCUCACAAGAGUAAGUAUUUAGAUUGAUUUAUUUGAGUAUAUUUAUUGACACAAACACUAAUCAUAUGAUUUGGAUGAUGCAUAAUUUAUCUAAAUUGUCCUAACAAAUUCAAGUUCUUCUGGGCCAUUGUGAUGUAUCUAAUCAUCGUGUAGCGUUG